AGGGUUUGAUCCUGGCUCAGAAUGAACGCUGGCGGCGUGCCUAACACAUGCAAGUCGCGCGAGAAAGCCCCUUCGGGGGUAAGUAAAGCGGCGGACGGGUGAGUAACGCGUGGACAACCUACCCCGGGGUUGGGGAUAACCCUGCGAAAGCGGGGCUAAUACCGAAUACGCUGUUCUUUUCCUGGGUGAUUUGUUUCACCGAGGAAGGGAAUGGGAAAGGUGGCCUCUGUAUCAAGCUACCGCCCCGGGAUGGGUUCGCGUCCCAUUAGCUUGUUGGUGGGGUCAAGGCCUACCAAGGCGACGAUGGGUAGCCGGCCUGAGAGGGUGAUCGGCCACACUGGGACUGGAACACGGCCCAGACUCCUACGGGAGGCAGUAGUGGGGAAUCUUGGGCAAUGGGCGCAAGCCUGACCCAGCGACGCCGCGUGUGGGACGAAGGCCUUCGGGUCGUAAACCACUGUCAGGAGGGAAGAAAAGCAGUUUCCGAACAGGGAGCUGUGUUGACGGUACCUCCAGAGGAAGCACCGGCCAACUCCGUGCCAGCAGCCGCGGUAAUACGGAGGGUGCAAGCGUUAUUCGGAAUCACUGGGCGUAAAGGGCGCGCAGGCGGUCUUGCCAGUCAGAUGUGAAAGCCCGGGGCUCAACCCCGGAGGUGCAUUUGAAACAGCAAGACUUGAGUACAGGAGAGGAAAGCGGAAUUCCUGGUGUAGAGGUGAAAUUCGUAGAUAUCAGGAGGAACACUUAUGGCGAAGGCAGCCUUCUACGCAGUUACUGACACUCAGGAGCGAAGGUGUGGGGAGCAAACAGGAUUAGAUAUCCUGGUAGUCCACACAGUCAACGAUGAUCACUAGGUUUUGGUGGGAUUAAAAUCAUCAGAGCUACAGCAAAUGCAUUAAGUGAUCCGCCUGGGGAGUACGUCCGCAAGGAUGAAACUCAAAGGAAUUGACGGGGACCCGCACAAGCGGUGGAGCAUGUUCUUUAAUUCGAUGCAACACGAAGAACCUUACCUGGGAUUGACAUCCGUGGAACCGCUAUGAAAGUAGCGAGUGCUCACUUUGUGAGAACCACGUGACAGGUGCUGCAUGGCUGUCGUCAGUUCGUGUCGUAAGAUGUUGGGUUAAGUCCCGUAACGAACGCAACCCCUGUCUUUAGUUGCCAGCAUUAAGUUGGGGACUCUAGAGAGACUGCCAAGGUGACAACUUGGAGGAAGGUGGGGAUGACGUCAAGUCCAUAUGGCCCUUACAUCCAGGGCGAGAAACGUGCUACAAUGGUUGGUACAAUGGGGAGCAACAUCGCAAGAUCGAGCAAAUCCUCAAAACCAAUCUCAGUUCGGAUUGGAGUCUGCAACCCGACUCCAUGAAGUUGGAAUCGCUAGUAAUCGCGGAUCAGCCAUGGUGCGGUGAAUACGUUCCCGGGCCUUGUACACACCGCCCGUCAAGCCAUGGAAGCUGGGGGUACCUGAAGUCCGUAACCGUUAAGGAGCGGCCUAGGGUAAAACCGGUGACUGGGGCUAAGUCGUAACAAGGUAGCCGAA
rnacentral:rRNA from 1 species